AGUGAACGCUGGCGGUAGGCCUAACACAUGCAAGUCGAACGGCAGCACAGUAAGAGCUUGCUCUUACGGGUGGCGAGUGGCGGACGGGUGAGGAAUACAUCGGAAUCUACUUUUUCGUGGGGGAUAACGUAGGGAAAUUUACGCUAAUACCGCAUACGACCUACGGGUGAAAGCAGGGGAUCUUCGGACCUUUCGCGAUUGAAUGAGCCGAUGUCGGGUUAGCUAGUUGGCGGGGUAAAGGCCCACCAAGGCGACGAUCCGUAGCUGGUCUGAGAGGAUGAUCAGCCACACUGGCACUGAGACACGGUCCAGACUCCUACGGGAGGCAGCAGUGGGGAAUAUUGGACAAUGGGCGAAAGCCUGAUCCAGCCAUACCGCGUGGGUGAAGAAGGCCUUCGGGUUGUAAAGCCCUUUUGUUGGGAAAGAAAAGCAGCAGGUUAAUACCCCGUUGUUCUGACGGUACCCAAAGAAUAAGCACCGGCUAACUUCGUG
rnacentral:rRNA from 1 species